UACGAGGGGGGCGAGCGUUGUUCGGAAUUAUUGGGCGUAAAGGGUGCGUAGGCGGCCUGACAAGUCUGAUGUGAAAUCCCUGGGCUCAACCCAGGGCCUGCAUCGGAAACUGUCGGGCUUGAGUAUGGGAGAGGUGAGUGGAAUUUCCGGUGUAGCGGUGAAAUUCGUAGAUAUUCGGAAGAACACCAGUGGCGAAGGCGACUUACUGGACACAUAUUGACGCUGAGGUGCGAAAGCGUGGGGAGCAAACAGG
rnacentral:rRNA from 1 species